rnacentral:tRNA from 1 species
GGGCAUUUAGCUCAGUUGGUAGAGCGUUCGAUUCACAUUCGAAAGGUCACUGGUUCGAAUCCAGUAAUGCCCACCA